rnacentral:lncRNA from 1 species
CACUUAAGAACUUUUCUGCAAAGGAGCCAGAGACUCUACACACUAAGGCACCAGGGUGCAACACUCCAGCCCUAAUAAGCCAGAACUAAGGAGAAGUAGACUCUGAGUGAACGAAAAGUUCUACAAUGUUAUGAAGACCUCCCUUUCCCAAGGAACAAAAAGUUCUACAGUGAGCUAUAAAGACCUUCCCUUUCUAAGGAAUAGCUUACAAUGAGUACAGCUCAAUUGAUCUCACCAAAAACAGCGAUCUGAUCAAGUCAUCAUGCCAUAAGACCUUCAGGGUCUCCAUCCUCUGGUCACAGCAUACUCUCGAGCUCCUCUUCACCUUCUGCUCUACCAGAUACCCACAUGCCGGCAGUGGGUGAGCAGAGGGCCACACUGCCAUUCUCACUGAGAUAGCUGUUUGUUGUGGAGGACUGUCCUAUGCAUAUAUUCCACCAAAAAAAAAUGUAUACACACUUCAGGAAAAGAAAAAUGGCAUGAUGUUUUUCUACAGAUAUCAUUGCCUUUGCCUGAGGACCCCUAGAGGAUGUCAUAUAUCACAGAAAGGCCACUACACUGCCAGCCCUUCGAGAAGAAAUUGAAAAUGCACGUGCAGCCAUCUCAAUGACCAAGGUUACCCAAGCAGUGGUUCACCAUACUAAUAAAUGUCUGGAAGCUAAUACCACCACUUUGAGCACCUCUUGUAAUUGUAG